CCCGGCAAUGAAUUGCCGGGCUAUUGUCGGGUCGGUCGUCCCUACGGGACU
rnacentral:sRNA from 1 species